GUGAGAAAUUGAUGAACCAAACUAAAAACUACUACGCAAUUACGAUAAAACAAUUAAAGCUUAUGUGCAUCAAAUAUUUGAUUCGAUUCAAUAGUAGAGAAAAGACAGAGUUAUAUAUGUAUACCCACAUAAUGGUGCAUAUAUGAAAGUGCAACAAAAAACUGACCCUGCCAACAAAAAUUGCAACAAAAACUAUGCACAUGCGCAGCACCAACCUAGCUGGAUGCAGGCAAAACAAAAUGCUAUUUUCCGAAUGUAUUUGGUGAAAAUUAACAUGCAGGCCCCAACCACCCUUAAACCGUGAAGAAAACGAGAAAAAAAACAACACAAAAAGCAUAAACACGCAACCAACAAAGAACCAACGAGUUGUCGAGCAACGAACUGUGCGGCAAAACUAUAACAAGAACAAGCACCAGCGAAAACUACAUUAAAAUAGUGGCUGAGGACGCCACCAACUACAAACAGACAUACAUUUGUACUACGCGUACGGCAAGGACUUUUCUACAACUACGGAGGCAACGCGGUGCAGCGCUCUACACUAUUUGCCUUCGUCACUACUAUUUACCGUUAAGUUAACGCUGGCGUACCAAAAAUGGACGCUCGUUUCGGCAACUCGUUGCACUAUUCGUUGUUAGUUUAAAAAAUUUCGUGACUUCGUAAAUACGGUGCACCGUUCGUGCAAGUACUGUGAUGACUCGUACAUUGCCGAGGACAAGGCCUCGGUGAAUGCAACUACUGUGUACCCGUUUGCCGUGUGCGAAAAAGGAUGGCCUCAAAGGAUAAUAGUUCAAGUGCAAAGAGGAUGCCGUCAACGAACGGAAAUACAUUUAUGUGCAUACCCAAGUAUAUAUACCAACACAUAUAAAUAUAUAAAUUUAUAUAUUGUUAAAGUUGAACAUAUAAAGGCUUUGGAUUUAUGCAUUGACUUGCAUAUGUAUGCAGUUUGGUUUGUGUGUUUUUGCACUCACAUUUGUGCAGCGUUUGAGUAAGGCUGAGUCUCCAUCAAUGCAGCCCCCACAUUUAUAUACCAGUACUAUUGCUUUUGUGUGCAUAUUGUGGGGGUGCAAGCGCCGUCAAAAUUCUACUGAAAAUAUGCUCGAAUAUAUGGUGGAAAGGAACGAAACACUAAUUAAAUAAUAUCAGCAUAACAAUGCACAAAACAAUAAGGCCAUGUUGAGCAAAACAAAAAGCGGAAGACAUUAAUGAGGUUUUUAAAUUAGGAUACUGUUCAUAGAUGUGGUUCACUGAAUUGUCUCAGAUUUGCAUAAAUUAAGAAG